rnacentral:rRNA from 1 species
AUCCAACCUGCCCUUCACCACGGGAUAACCCGGCGAAAGUCGGACUAAUACCGUAUGUUGUCCAUUGACGGCAUCCGAUUUGGACGAAAGGCUUGGCGGUGAGGGAUGGGGAUGCGUCCGAUUAGCCAGACGGCGGGGUAACGGCCCACCGUGGCGACGAUCGGUAGGGGUUCUGAGAGGAAGGUCCCCCACACUGGAACUGAGACACGGUCCAGACUCCUACGGGAGGCAGCAGUGAGGAAUAUUGGUCAAUGGGCGUAAGCCUGAACCAGCCAAGUAGCGUGCAGGACGACGGCCCUAUGGGUUGUAAACUGCUUUUAUGCGGGGAUAAAGUGGCCCACGUGUGGGUUUUUGCAGGUACCGCAUGAAUAAGGACCGGCUAAUUCCGUGCCAGCAGCCGCGGUAAUACGGAAGGUCCGGGCGUUAUCCGGAUUUAUUGGGUUUAAAGGGAGCGUAGGCCGCGCCUUAAGCGUGUUGUGAAAUCCGGGUGCUCAACAUCCGGCUUGCAGCGCGAACUGGGGCGCUUGAGUGCGCAGAAAGUAGGCGGAAUUCGUGGUGUAGUGGUGAAAUGCUUAGAUAUCACGAGGAACUCCGAUUGCGAAGGCAGCCUACUGUAGCGCUACUGACGCUGAUGCUCGAAAGCGUGGGUAUCGAACAGGAUUAGAUACCCUGGUAGUCCACGCGGUAAACGAUGGAUGCUCGUUGUCGGCCCUUUGGGUCGGUGACCAAGCGAAAGCGUUAAGCAUCCCACCUGGGGAGUACGCCGGCAACGGUGAAACUCAAAGGAAUUGACGGG